rnacentral:SRP_RNA from 1 species
GCCCGGCGUGGUGGUGCGUAUCUGUAGUCCCAGCUACUCGGGAGGCUGAGGUGGGAAGAUCGCUUGAGCCCAGGAGUUCUGGGCUGUAGUGUGCUAAGCUGAUCGGGUGUCUGCACUAAGUUCGGCAUCAAUAUGUUGAGCUCCCGGGACCGGGGGACCACAAGGUUGCCUGAGGAGGGGUGAACAGGCCCAGGUCAGAAACAAACAAGUCAGAACUCCCGAUGCUGAUCAGUAGUGGGAUCGCCCCUGUGAAUAGCCGCUGCACUCCAGCAUGGGCAACAUGGCGAGACCCUGUCUCU